rnacentral:siRNA from 1 species
CAAUCAUGUCUAAACCUUUUGU